AAACUGUGUGAGUGUGUGCACGUGCGUGUGUGCACAUGCAUAUGUGUGUGGCUAUCUUAGCUGU
ensembl:miRNA